AAGGAGGGCAUCAUUGCACCAAGAUAUGUUAGCUUAACAACUCAAGUGGCUGACACAUUCAUUAAACCACCCACCUCUCCAGCUUUUCAGAAUCUUCAUUCCAAGUUGGCUUUGUAGAUGUCCACCAAAGUCCAACUUGAGGGGGGGAUAUUGGUUAGUUAGUUAGUUAGCAGUUAGUUAAUUACUAGUUAAUAGUUGUUACAGUUAAUAAAUGCACAUGUACUUAUAUAAAUACAGAAUUACAUUUUGUAUCAAGAUGAUUUUUCAAUGAAUGAAACGAUAAAGAAUUUUUCUUGCCUACCACUUUCAUCUUCUGUACUUUGAAUUCUGUUAUGAAUUCGUUCAUGUUCACACAUUUAAAGAAUUUUUUCCAUAUAACAAUUCUUCUACUACACCCACGAUAUCAACUUUAAGCACUUCCCAGUUACAUCUUAUGAAAUGUUAAAGUCAUUCCAAUGUGAGGCUUUAUUUAUAUCCCCAUUAAACAUAACAAUUCUAACCCCUUCAUCUGAAAAUUAUCUUUCUAACCAUACUUACUGAUCCUCUUUAAACUUUUUAAACAUAAUUUCUUGUAUAUACACUCUUGAUAUAUCAACACUUUUAAAAUGUUCCCUACAAAAAUUUCUAAAAUGC
rnacentral:lncRNA from 1 species